rnacentral:rRNA from 1 species
GACGAACGCUGGCGGCGUGCCUAAUACAUGCAAGUAGAACGCUGAAGGAGGAGCUUGCUUCUCCGGAUGAGUUGCGAACGGGUGAGUAACGCGUAGGUAACCUGCCUGGUAGCGGGGGAUAACUAUUGGAAACGAUAGCUAAUACCGCAUAAGAGUAGAUGUCGCAUGACAUUUGCUUAAAAGGUGCAACUGCACCACUACCAGAUGGACCUGCGUUGUAUUAGCUAGUUGGUGAGGUAACGGCUCACCAAGGCAACGAUACAUAGCCGACCUGAGAGGGUGAUCGGCCACACUGGGACUGAGACACGGCCCAGACUCCUACGGGAGGCAGCAGUAGGGAAUCUUCGGCAAUGGACGGAAGUCUGACCGGGCAACGCCGCGUGAGUGAAGAAGGUUUUCGGAUCGUAAAGCUCUGUUGUAAGAGAAGAACGAGUGUGAGAGUGGAAAGUUCACACUGUGACGGUAUCUGACCAGAAAGGGACGGCUAACUACGUG